rnacentral:rRNA from 1 species
GACAGAGGGUGCGAACGUUGCUCGGAAUUACUGGGCGUAAAGCGCGUGUAGGCGGACUAGUAAGUCGGACGUGAAAUCCCUGGGCUCAACCCAGGAACUGCAUCCGAAACUAUUAGUCUGGAGUGGUGGAGAGGAAAGCAGAAUUCCUGGUGUAGAGGUGAAAUUCGUAGAUAUCAGGAGGAACACCGGUGGCGAAGGCGGCUUUCUGGGACACUAACUGACGCUGAGACGCGAAAGCGUGGGGGAGCAAACAGG